rnacentral:rRNA from 1 species
UACAGAGGGUGCAAGCGUUUGUUCGGAAUUAUUGGGCGUAAAGCGCGUGUAGGCGGCUUUGCAAGUCGGGUGUGAAAGCCCUCAGCUCAACUGAGGAAGUGCGCCCGAAACUGCAGAGCUUGAGUACCGGAGAGGAUGGCGGAAUUCCCCAAGUAGAGGUGAAAUUCGUAGAUAUGGGGAGGAACACCGGUGGCGAAGGCGGCCAUCUGGACGGAUACUGACGCUGAGACGCGAAAAGCGUGGGGAGCGAACGGG